CCUGGUUUGAAAUAUGAGUAUUAGAAACCAAAAAGACAGUUCUUUGUGUUUUACUCGCAUUUGUUGAGCGACUGUACUGUGUGCUGUAGAAUUGCUGAAUGUGUAAAGAUGAUUUAUAGUAUAAACUUUGUGUGUGUGUGUGUGUGUGUUUUGUUUCUUUUAUGUUUUAACCUUCUAGAUCAGGAGUCAAGUAAUGCCACAGAAGAGCUUAUUCAAAGCACUUACAUACAUUUUUGCAGUGGCUGAAUGAAGUUCACUGGAAAACUUAAAAGACUGAAAAACUUCACAUGAAGUUUGGAGCAAUAUGUGGAUCAGUGUUGACCAGUUUUUUUAUAUUUUCUACUUUAGAUUGAGUUUGUUAAUUAAUUAAUUCAUUUAUUUUUUUUUUAUUGGAUAUGUGAUUGUGAUAAAUUUUGGCAGUUGUU